rnacentral:lncRNA from 1 species
CCUUUACAAAUACCCCUGCAAGGCACACACGGGUUCAUCCCGGUCAUCUUGAAGAAACUUCAAGCCCGCCACCAGAUAAGAAACAGUGCUGUGAGGAUCAAGCACGAAAACGUGGUGCACAGCUCUUAGGCCCCGAACAAGGUCCCCUUGAUCUCUGCAGCCACCCAGCAGACUAAUCCAUGCCGCCCGCGACACUCUCUCCCCACUGUGCUUGAUCUUCAUUCCAUCACCUUCUUCGACGUUUCCGACUUUUUUUCUCUGUGAGCUUGAGCAAUAGCAGAGCUCUCAGCUUUAACACAGAACAAGAAAUAAAGCAGGAAAGAAAGAGAGAGUUAUCGUCGAGAGAGGAUUGUGAUCAGAGAGCUACAGUGGUGCUAGCACUCAAUCACAUUCUC